AUUGCUCUAAAAAAUAAAGCCUAUUAAAAAAAAAUCACAGACGUGGAAACAUUUAGCAUUGUGUCUGCAUGCAGUUAGUGCAUGCAGCUCUCAGCUCUUCUUUCCUUCCUAAGGUCUCAGAUCACGAGGUUUAAAAGGCUCUUAGGAGUUAAGUCUCUACAGCUGGGAUCAAUUAUGUAACACAGUGCUCCUGGACACCCCUCUAAAAAGAAGCAGAGAAGUCACACCUGUGUUGGGAAGUUCAGCCCCAUUAAUGUGGAAGGACUGGAGUUUGUCAGAUCAGCAUCCUGAAGCAUUGGCUACAUAAGGUGUAUGGGUGGAAAACUUUCUUUCUUCUUGUUGCCCCAACCUACUUCUGAGUAAUUUCUACCCUGAAGUGCCUGAGGCUGCAGGUGUGGAGCUGCGGGAGCGGCAUAAGGUAGGGGUGUUGGCUUUCAACACAGGUCCCUCCUGGUGCAGAUGUUCCAGGACAGGCACACCUUGUCGUACUAAAGCAUGUAGAGAUGAAAGCCCCCUCCCCCAGGAAGACAGCUCAGUGCAGUACAAUGAGAUAGCAGGAAACUUCCAAAAUCAAACCACGAAGAAUGGUACCCUGGCAUAAAUAACAGCAGCUCAUAUUUUCGUCCGUGUGCCAGGCGCCGUGCUGAGUAUAAAGCACGCGAGUGUUAUCUUCUUUCACCCUCACCACACCCUAAGAGGCAGAAAUCGUUAACAGUCUGCAUUUUCUAGUUGAGGAAACCAAGGCUUUAGAGAUACAAACACGUGUGAUGAAGCCAGAUAAGGAUGACUUAGCGGGUAGUGAACUGACCUCUUUGGUGGUCUUGCAGGCCUGGGGAGGCUUGACUGAGGGGCCCCCAACCCAGCCUGGGAGGAGGUGAGUUUGCUGGGUGGAGACGCAGGGAGGGUGCCUGCAGCGGGAACAGUGUCAGCGGGGGCGGGAGGCAGGAUAUAGUGGAGCAGUCGAGGAUGGAGCUAUGACACAGCUCAGGGCUGCUCCACGUGAUAGAAUGGUGGGGGUAGGGGUGUCACAUGAGGUGGCCCUGGAGAGGUCAGUGUGGUCUGGAGGGGGCAGAGGACACAGCACUUAAAGCUGAGGAUGACGGGGGUCAGAGUUUUGCUUUAGGAAGACCCCUCCUCUGUUGCCUUGUAGAGGGAGGCGUCCUGGAGGCUGAGACCUUCGCUGACUGUUCUCUACACAGUGGAGAUGAAGGAGACCGAGCCCUGGCCGCUUGAGGUAGGUACCAAGAGGGAGAGGUGAGAAGUACCUAGCAGUGUGUGCAGGGAGGGGGAGGACAAGGAGGGGUUAGGGAAACAUCCGGGAGACUUGCUGGAAUGAUGGAUACUGGCCCCAGCGGAGAAAGGAAGAGAGGUUUGAACAAGUUGAUGCUGAGGUGCCUGGGGACAGCCAGGGAGGUGGGGCUGUCACCUUUCGUGGCACCUGAGGCUUCAGCGUGAGAGAGUUUCUCAGCCAGGUCUCUUACUUUGAGAGCCCCUGGGAACCCCAAGAUUCCUCAGAGCAUCUUUCUCCCAUGUGAGAGGCUGCAGCAUCCUGGUGCCUUCUCCUAGGGCUCUGAAAAAGGCAAGUCCCCAGAUCUGAGAUCCCCGGAGACCUACAGCUUCCUGAGGGAGUGAGGGAGAGUGGCUUGGCCUUUCCUGGGGACAGCACCAGGGUUUGCCUUUGACUCAGAAACGCUCACUGCCUCCCACCCCUUCUGGAAUCUAUCAGACUGGGGGAGCUGAACAAAUUGGAUCAAUGCCUAGCUCAGUCUCUCUCUCCCUCUGUCUUUUUUUUUUAUUUUUUAAACCUGACUAGCAUAUUCCCUGCAUGAGCUGACUGUCACGUGUUGGGCAGAUUCUCUCCAUUUCAUAACCUACUGCUCUUGUCUUUCAGAAUAAAAGACUGACUCAGGCAGCCCAAGCUUCCACAAACUACUUAGGAAUGAAAGUGACCCCUAAAACCAGAGAAUUUCAAAGACAUCAUUCCCUGGGGGAAGAGGCACUAGCCAGGGAAUCAAAAGACCUGAGAUGUAAUCUUGGCUCUGUUGCUAACAAGCAGUGCGACCUUGGCACCGCUGCCUGUGGAGCAAGAUGGGACAUAACAGCGUCUUUGCUCGUCACACUCAGAAGCCCCUGUUUUAUAGAUGCAAGGUGGUGUGUGGAGCUGCAGUAGUGAAUGUGCUGUGUGGCUGG